UACGUAGGGACCAAGCGUUGUUCGGAUUUACUGGGCGUAAAGGGCGCGUAGGCGGCAAUUCAAGUCAGUUGUGAAAUCUCCGAGCUUAACUCGGAACGGUCAACUGAUACUGUUUUGCUAGAGUGCAGAAAGGGCAACCGGAAUUCUUGGUGUAGCGGUGAAAUGCGUAGAUAUCAAGAGGAACACCUGAGGCGAAGGCGGGUUGCUAGGCUGACACUGACGCUGGAGGCGCGAAAGCUAGGGUAGCAAACGGG
rnacentral:rRNA from 1 species